CCCUAGCCCCGAUUGAAGUAUUUGUUUGAGCUCAUUUUAUUUUAUUGGUAGCGGCGGCUCCGCCGCCGCUACCAAUAAAAUAAAAUAGCGAGUACGGAAAGCGGGAAAUAGC
rnacentral:misc_RNA from 1 species